rnacentral:rRNA from 1 species
UACGGGGGGAGCAAGCGUUGUUCGGAUUUAUUGGGCGUAAAGGGCGCGUAGGCGGUCACUACAAGUCAGUUGUGAAAUCUCUGGGCUUAACUCAGAACGGUCAACUGAUACUGUCGGACUAGAGUGCAGAAGGGGCAACUGGAAUUCUCGGUGUAGCGGUGAAAUGCGUAGAUAUCAGGAGGAACACCGGUGGUGUAGACGGCUUUCUGGACCGUAACUGACGCUGAGACACGAAAGCGUGGGUAGCAAACAGG